rnacentral:rRNA from 1 species
UGAGGAACAUGACCUUCGGCGGGGGAGUAGCCGGCCCAACGGCCGGGUAAUACCGCGUACGACCACAUGGGGACAUCCCUGAGUGGUGAAAGUAGCAAUGCGCCGAUGGAGUGCCUCGCGGCCUAUCAGCUAGUUGGUGAGGUAACGGCUCAUCAAGGCGACGACGGGUAGCUGGUCUGAGAGGAUGGCCAGCCAUAUUGGGACUGAGACACGGCCCAGACCUCUACCGGGGAGG